rnacentral:rRNA from 1 species
AACUCAAAGGAAUUGACGGGGGCCCGCACAAGCGGUGGAGUAUGUGGUUUAAUUCGAUGCAACGCGAAGAACCUUACCUAGGUUUGACAUCCGGAAAACCUUCCCGAAAAGGAAGGGUGCCCUUCGGGGAAUUCCGAGACAGGUGCUGCAUGGCUGUCGUCAGCUCGUGCCGUGAGGUGUUGGGUUAAGUCCCGCAACGAGCGCAACCCUAUUGCCAGUUGCUACCAGGUAAUGCUGGGCACUCUGGUGAGACUGCCCCGGUUAACGGGGAGGAAGGUGGGGACGACGUCAAGUCAUCAUGGCCCUUACGCCUAGGGCUACACACGUACUACAAUGGCGCAUACAAAGGGCAGCGAUACCGCGAGGUGGAGCCAAUCCCAAAAAGUGCGUCCCAGUCCGGAUUGCAGUCUGCAACUCGACUGCAUGAAGUUGGAAUCGCUAGUAAUUCGAGAUCAGCAUGCUCGGGUGAAUGCGUUCCCGGGCCGUU